CGCUCCUACGGGAGGCAGCAGUGGGGAAUAUUGCACAAUGGGGGAAACCCUGAUGCAGCGACGCCGCGUGAGUGAAGAAGUAAUUCGUUAUGUAAAGCUCUAUCAGCAGGGAAGAAAAUGACGGUACCUGAGUAAGAAGCCCCGGCUAACUACGUGCCAGCAGCCGCGGUAAUACGUAGGGGGCAAGCGUUAUCCGGAUUUACUGGGUGUAAAGGGAGCGUAGACGGCAGCGCAAGUCUGGAGUGAAAUCCCAUGGCUUAACCAUGGAACUGCUUUGGAAACUGUGCAGCUAGAGUGCAGGAGAG
rnacentral:rRNA from 1 species